GAUGAACGCUGGCGGCGUGCCUAACACAUGCAAGUCGAACGAACACAUAAUAAGGGUUUGCUUCUGCCGGUAGCGAUUGGCGGAUGAGUGACGAAUGGAUCGGAAACCCCUUUGUCGUGGGGGAUGUCGUGGGGCAACAUACGCUAAUACGGCAUAUGAUCUACCGGAAGAAGCAAGAGUUCAAUGCAGCUUUGGCGAAAGUUAGAGCCGAUGUCGGAUUAGCUAGUUUGCGAGGUAAAGGCACAGCGAGGCGACGCCACGUAGCUGCUCUGAGAGGAUGAUCCGCCACACUGGAACUGAGACACGGUCCAGACUCCUACGGGAGGCAGCAGUGGGGAAUAUUGCGCAAUGGGCGAAAGCCUGAUCCAGCAAUAUCGCGUGAGUGAUGAAGGCCUUCGGGUUGUAAAGCCAUGUUGUUGGGAAAGAAAAAAAGCAGUAUCAGCCCCCGCUGUUCUGACGGUACCUAACGAAUAAGCACCGGCUAACUUCGUG
rnacentral:rRNA from 1 species